ACAAACUUGGUCAUUUAGAGGAAGUAAAAGUCGUAACAAGGUUUCCGUAGGUGAACCUGCGGAAGGAUCAUUAUUGAAUAAACAUGGCUUUAGGCUGUUGCUGACUUUCAGAGUAUGUGCACGCCUAUUCCAUUUUUAUUUAACCUCCUGUGCACUUUUAUGUAGAUCUGAAAACCUUUCGAGUCUAAAGUCUCGUUUCAAGGAAUUGCUGUGCUAUCAGUUGGCCAGCUUUUCCUCAUUUCAGAUCUAUCUAAUCAAUUCACUCCACAUAAAGUUUCAGAAUGUCAUUAUCAGGCAUCAUUUGCCUUAUAAAUAUGUAUCUAUACAACUUUCAACAACGGAUCUCUUGGCUCUCGCAUCGAUGAAGAACGCAGC
rnacentral:misc_RNA from 1 species